rnacentral:rRNA from 1 species
UAGGGAAUCUUCGGCAAUGGACGAAAGUCUGACCGAGCAACGCCGCGUGAGUGAAGAAGGGUUUCGGAUCGUAAAACUCUGUUGUUAGAGAAGAACAAGGACGUUAGUAACUGAACGUCCGCUGACGGUAUCUAACCAGAAAGCCACGGCUAACUACGUGCCAGCAGCCGCGGUAAUACGUAGGUGGCAAGCGUUGUCCGGAUUUAUUGGGCGUAAAGCGAGCGCAGGCGGUUUCUUAAGUCUGAUGUGAAAGCCCCCGGCUCAACCGGGGAGGGUCAUUGGAAAAUGGGAGACUUGAGUGCAGAAGAGGAGAGUGGAAUUCCAUGUGUAGCGGUGAAAUGCGUAGAUAUAUGGAGGAACACCAGUGGCGAAGGCGGCUCUCUGGUCUGUAACUGACGCUGAGGCUAGAAAGCGUGGGGAGCAAACAGG